GGCGAGAAACCUUUUACUUACAAGUGAAGAGGCAUAUCGUUAGACCGUAGUACUAAAUGAUGACAACUGUUGCACUUGAGUCCAUACUAUGAUCAGUAAGUUUUAUUUUUCAUUUUUUUUAAUUUGUGUGUGUGUCCAUGGUGCCCAAGUCAACUAUUUUGCUUGGAAGGACAAUAUAUUUCCUAAAGAAAACUAUUUGGCUGCUGCUAAAUUUAUAGCAGCUAAGUAGUGUUCUUUCCUAAAUAUCUAAACUAGACAUAAAAGGGUCUUCAACACGAGAAUAACUUAUAUGAAACAGGUUCAUCAUCACGUGACGUUUCUUGUCCAAAAACAUAUCGUCAUGAGCAAAUUUUUCUCUACGUGGCAAUGUAUUGUUGAAUCUAAAUAUCACGUAAAAGUAAACUUGUUUCGUAUAAGUUGUUAUUCUCAUAGUUCAACAACAGAACAAUGACCUAAUAAAGGUUCAACUUAUCCUGCUCAUCUCAUAACAAAACAAGAAGCAAAUUCCGCAAUGACAGUAGCCACUACUAAAGUGACAACAUAUGGGGAGAGUUUUGAGUCUACAUUUUUUAUGUAUCAUUUUUGUUAAGGCACAUGCAAUCGUAUAUAUAAAGUGAGGUUUUCGGGGACGGAAUUUUGUUGAAGUGUUUUGUACUCUUGUAUAAUGUAUUGGUCUCCUUGAUUUUUUUUGGGCUUAUUAGUAGCAAUAUUCGACGAGAGAAUUAUUAUGAUAUCUGAUGACAGUGAAUUAUAUAUUUCAUUUUUGUAUGCACAGAAUUCCAAUAAACACAAAAUUAAACAAGAACUAAGUUGAUGAUUAACCCAAUUUGUUAGCAGUGUAUGAAAUUUCAAUUUUUUGAAUGAUAGCCCUUAAGCUUAAGCUGAAGGCUGGACCUUGAGGAGCACAAAACAAUAUCUUUCCAGAGAGAACCAGGCUCGAGAGUACGGCUUGGGUUCUGCAUGUAAAGCUCGUAUAUGGAUUCUACCUUGGAGUUCAAAUUGCUUUAAGUUUGUCAAGCACUUUAUCUCUUCAUGAUCGACUAGCAACUUGUUGUCUCCAUCCUUCCAUCCUAUUAGCUGCAUUUUAUGCACUGAUAUGAUAUUAACUAGCACUCAAAUUAACCCUCUUUUUAUCAAUUGUAGUAAGUAUGUAAGUAGGGAUCGUU
rnacentral:lncRNA from 1 species